rnacentral:rRNA from 1 species
GACGAACGCUGGCGGCGUGCCUAAUACAUGCAAGUAGAACGCUGAAGGAGGAGCUUGCUUCUCUGGAUGAGUUGCGAACGGGUGAGUAACGCGUAGGUAACCUGCCUGGUAGCGGGGGAUAACUAUUGGAAACGAUAGCUAAUACCGCAUAACAGUAGAUAUCGCAUGAUAUCUACUUGAAAGGUGCAAUUGCAUCACUACCAGAUGGACCUGCGUCGUAUUAGCUAGUUGGUGAGGUAACGGCUCACCAAGGCGACGAUACAUAGCCGACCUGAGAGGGUGAUCGGCCACACUGGGACUGAGACACGGCCCAGACUCCUACGGGAGGCAGCAGUAGGGAAUCUUCGGCAAUGGACGGAAGUCUGACCGAGCAACGCCGCGUGAGUGAAGAAGGUUUUCGGAUCGUAAAGCUCUGUUGUAAGAGAAGAACGAGUGUGAGAGUGGAAAGUUCACACUGUGACGGUAUCUUACCAGAAAGGGACGGCUAACUACGUG